UACAGAGGUGGCAAGCGUUGUUCGGAAUUACUGGGCGUAAAGGGCGCGUAGGCGGUCGCCUAAGUCGGACGUGAAAUCCCCAGGCUUAACCUGGGAACUGCAUUCGAGACUGCAUUGCUAGAGUAUGGGAGAGGGAAGUGGAAUUUCCGGUGUAGCGGUGAAAUGCGUAGAUAUCGGAAGGAACAUCAGUGGCGAAAGCGACUUCCUGGACCAAUACUGACGCUCAUGUGCGAAAGCGUGGGGAGCAAACAGG
rnacentral:rRNA from 1 species